AAAAAAAGACUUUGAAAAUCACGAUGCACGUAAAAUUAAAUAAGCAGAACACGUUGAACGAGGCACCCGUCUUACACGACUGAACGUCAAAUAAAAAAGUAAAAACACGUUGAACCUGAAAUAAAAAACUGCGAUCACGUUUCACGAAAAUAACCCUUUACCACCCUCUGAGAAACAUCCCAAACCUCAUGAACCUUGAAAUGAAAUAUGAGA
rnacentral:lncRNA from 1 species